AUUGAACGCUGGCGGCAGGCCUAACACAUGCAAGUCGGACGGUAGCACAGAGGAGCUUGCUCCUCGGGUGACGAGUGGCGGACGGGUGAGUAAUGUCUGGGGAUCUGCCCGAUAGAGGGGGAUAACCACUGGAAACGGUGGCUAAUACCGCAUAACGUCGCAAGACCAAAGAAGGGGACCUUCGGGCCUCUCACUAUCGGAUGAACCCAGAUGGGAUUAGCUAGUAGGCGGGGUAACGGCCCACCUAGGCGACGAUCCCUAGCUGGUCUGAGAGGAUGACCAGCAACAUUGGAACUGAGACACGGUCCAGACUCCUACGGGAGGCAGCAGUGGGGAAUAUUGCACGAUGGGCGCAAGCCUGAUGCAGCCAUGCCGCGUGUAUGAAGAAGGCCUUCGGGUUGUAAAGUACUUUCAGCGGGGAGGAAGGCGAUGUGGUUAAUAACCGCAUUGAUUGACGUUACCCGCAGAAGAAGCACCGGCUAACUCCGUGCCAGCCGCCGCGGUAA
rnacentral:rRNA from 1 species